rnacentral:rRNA from 1 species
GAUGAACGCUGGCGGCGUGCCUAAUACAUGCAAGUCGAGCGAACGGACGAGAAGCUUGCUUCUCUGAUGUUAGCGGCGGACGGGUGAGUAACACGUGGAUAACCUACCUAUAAGACUGGGAUAACUUCGGGAAACCGGAGCUAAUACCGGAUAAUAUCUUGAACCGCAAGGUUCAAAAGUGAAAGACGGUCUUGCUGUCACUUAUAGAUGGAUCCGCGCUGCAUUAGCUAGUUGGUAAGGUAACGGCUUACCAAGGCAACGAUGCAUAGCCGACCUGAGAGGGUGAUCGGCCACACUGGAACUGAGACACGGUCCAGACUCCUACGGGAGGCAGCAGUAGGGAAUCUUCCGCAAUGGGCGGAAGCCUGACGGAGCAACGCCGCGUGAGUGAUGAAGGUCUUCGGAUCGUAAAACUCUGUUAUUAGGGAAGAACAUAUGUGUAAGUAACUGUGCACAUCUUGACGGUACCUAAUCAGAAAGCCACGGCUAACUACGUG